rnacentral:rRNA from 1 species
CAACGUGAUUUCUGCCCAGUGCUCUGAAUGUUAAAGCGAAGAAAUUCGACCAAGCGCGGGUAAACGGCGGGAGUAACUAUGACUCUCUUAAGGUAGCCAAAUGCCUCGUCAUCUAAUUAGUGACGCGCAUGAAUGGAUUAACGAGAUUCUCACUGUCCCUACUUACACCCCGGCGAAACCACAGCCAAGGGAACGGGCUUGGCGGAAUCGGCGGGGAAAGAAGACCCUGUUGAGCUUGACUCUAGUCGAACGUCGAGGAACAGCACGGACGAACGUAGCAUAGGUGGGAGGCUCCGGCCGAACCUGAAAUACCACCGUCUCCGUCGUUGUUCUUCUCAUUUGGUGGUGUAGGGAUGGGGCGAAGCCCCUUUUUCUGGAGACGGCCGCGACGCGCGCCCGUCCGGGCUCCGUCGCUCGCGCGAGCGAGCGGCGGGGGUCCGGCAGGCCUCCGCCCGCGGCGCCUAAUCCGAAGACGUCGUUCGGUGGGGAGUUUGGCUGGGGC